GUGAAAAUUCCUGCAGUGCAGCUGUUGAAGCCUGUGCCUUCUCGACUCUGGACUUCUCAGGCUCAUCUAUGGUGCCUCAAAGAGCUGUGUUUCAUUGUUUUCCAUGGCUAAUAUUCCAUUGUGUACAUGGACCACUUCUUCUUUUUCCACUCAUCGGGUGACGUACAUUUUGGUUGCUUCCGCGUCUUGGCUAUUGUGAAAAUUCCUGCAGUGCAGCUGUUGAAGCCUCUGCCUUCUUGACUCUGGACUUCUCAGGCUCAUCUAUGGUGCCUCAAAGAGCUGUGUUUCAUUGUUUUCCAUGGCUAAUAUUCCAUUGUGUACAUGGACCACUUCUUCUUUUUCCACUCAUCGGGUGACGUACAUUUUGGUUGCUUCCGCGUCUUGGCUAUUGUGAAAAUUCCUGCAGUGCAGCUGUUGAAGCCUCUGCCUUCUUGACUCUGGACUUCUCAGGCUCAUCUAUGGUGCCUCAAAGAGCUGUGUUUCAUUGUUUUCCAUGGCUAAUAUUCCAUUGUGUACAUGGACCACUUCUUCUUUUUCCACUCAUCGGGUGACGUACAUUUUGGUUGCUUCCGCGUCUUGGCUAUUGUGAAAAUUCCUGCAGUGCAGCUGUUGAAGCCUCUGCCUUCUUGACUCUGGACUU